CCAGCAGAUAGUCAUUUAGGAACCCGCUCUUAACAAGAUCGUCGAGCUGAUAUCCCAAGGACAAACACGAGUCCAAAGUGUGGCCAAAGCCUUGGUGAAACUCACACCAGGCAUCCGGCUUUGACCCCAGCACCUUGUCGCCCACCUUCUCAGGCGCUUUCAACCUAGCAGAUAUGUUAGGAAUGGCGAUCAGAUCCGCCAGUCCCAUGACAAACUUGUGCUUAGGCGGGCGAUUGUAUUCCCGGCGUGCUGGUUGCUG
rnacentral:lncRNA from 1 species